CUACGGGUGGGCAGCAGUGGGGAAUAUUGGACAAUGGGCGAAAGCCUGAUCCAGCCAUGCCGCGUGUGUGAAGAAGGCCUUCGGGUUGUAAAGCACUUUCAGUGGGGAAGAAAGCCUUGGGGCUAAUACCCUCGAGGAAGGACAUCACCCACAGAAGAAGCACCGGCUAACUCCGUGCCAGCAGCCGCGGUAAUACGGAGGGUGCGAGCGUUAAUCGGAAUUACUGGGCGUAAAGCGCGCGUAGGCGGUCUGAUAAGCCGGUUGUGAAAGCCCCGGGCUCAACCUGGGAACGGCAUCCGGAACUGUCAGGCUAGAGUGCAGGAGAGGAAGGUAGAAUUCCCGGUGUAGCGGUGAAAUGCGUAGAGAUCGGGAGGAAUACCAGUGGCGAAGGCGGCCUUCUGGACUGACACUGACGCUGAGGUGCGAAAGCGUGGGUAGCAAACAGGAUUAGAUACCCCGGUAGUC
rnacentral:rRNA from 1 species